GAUGAACGCUAGCGGCAGGCUUAAUACAUGCAAGUCGAGGGGCAGCAGGGGUGUAGCAAUACACUCGCUGGCGACCGGCAAACGGGUGCGGAACACGUACGCAACCUACCCAAAACUGAUGAAUAGCCCUCCGAAAGGAGGAUUAAUACAUCGUAACAUAAUGAAGUGGCAUCACUUUAUUAUUAUAGCUCCGGCGGUUUUGGAUGGGCGUGCGCCUGAUUAGAUAGUUGGCGGGGUAACGGCCCACCAAGUCUACGAUCAGUAACUGGUGUGAGAGCACGACCAGUCACACGGGCACUGAGACACGGGCCCGACUCCUACGGGAGGCAGCAGUAAGGAAUAUUGGUCAAUGGACGCAAGUCUGAACCAGCCAUGCCGCGUGAA
rnacentral:rRNA from 1 species